rnacentral:rRNA from 1 species
UGUGCCAGCAGCCGCGGUAAUACGUAGGGUGCGAGCGUUGUCCGGAAUUAUUGGGCGUGAAGAGCUCGUAGGCGGCUUGUCGCGUCUGCUGUGAAAGCCCGGGGCUCAACCCCGGGUCUGCAGUGGGUACGGGCAGGCUGGAGUGCAGUAGGGGAGACUGGAAUUCCUGGUGUAGCGGUGAAAUGCGCAGAUAUCAGGAGGAACACCGAUGGCGAAGGCAGGUCUCUGGGCUGUAACUGACGCUGAGGAGCGAAAGCAUGGGGAGCGAACAGGAUUAGAUACCCUGGUAGUCCAUGCUGUAAACGUUGGGCACUAGGUGUGGGGGCCAUUCCACGGUUUCCGCGCCGCAGCUAACGCAUUAAGUGCCCCGCCUGGGGAGUACGGCCGCAAGGCUAAAACUCAAAGAAAUUGACGGG